AGUGAACGCUGGCGGUAGGCCUAACACAUGCAAGUCGAACGGCAGCACAGUAAGAGCUUGCUCUUACGGGUGGCGAGUGGCGGACGGGUGAGGAAUACAUCGGAAUCUACUUUUUCGUGGGGGAUAACGUAGGGAAACUUACGCUAAUACCGCAUACGACCUACGGGUGAAAGCAGGGGAUCUUCGGACCUUGCGCGAUUGAAUGAGCCGAUGUCGGAUUAGCUAGUUGGCGGGGUAAAGGCCCACCAAGGCGACGAUCCGUAGCUGGUCUGAGAGGAUGAUCAGCCACACUGGAACUGAGACACGGUCCGGACUCCUACGGGAGGCAGCCGUGGGGAAUAUUGGACAAUGGGCGCAAGCCUGAUCCAGCCAUACCGCGUGGGUGAAGAAGGCCUUCGGGUUGUAAAGCCCUUUUGUUGGGAAAGAAAAGCAGCAGGUUAAUACCCCGCUGUUCUGACGGUACCCAAAGAAUAAGCACCGGCUAACUUCGUG
rnacentral:rRNA from 1 species